AUGAACGCUAGCGACAGGCCUAACACAUGCAAGUCAGGGGCAGCACAAGGAGCAAUCUGAGGUGGCGACCGGCGCACGGGUGAGUAACACGUAUGCAACCUGCCUGUAAGCGGGGAAUAACCCGUUGAAAGACGGACUAAUACCGCAUAAUACUAAAUUACUGCAUGGUAAUUUAUUUAAACAUUUAUGGCUUACAGAUGGGCAUGCGCAUGAUUAGCUAGCUGGAGGGGUAACGGCUCCCCAAGGCAACGAUCAUUAGGGGUUCUGAGAGGAAGGUCCCCCACACUGGUACUGAGACACGGACCAGACUCCUACGGGAGGCAGCAGUGAGGAAUAUUGGUCAAUGGACGAGAGUCUGAACCAGCCAAGUCGCGUGCAGGAAGAAUGUCCUAUUGGAUUGUAAACUGCUUUUGCAGGGGAAUAAAGUGCAUCACGUGUGAUGUUUUGUAUGUACUCUGCGAAUAAGGAUCGGCUAACUCCGUGCCAGCAGCAGC
rnacentral:rRNA from 1 species